GUUUUGUGCCUUAUUUGACAGACAUUCCUUGCUGCACUCAUCAAGCAGGAAGCUUGGAUUGGUUUAAAUGAUAAAGAAACUGAGGGCUCCUGGAAAUGGGUUGAUGGAACYUCCCCAGAGUUCAAGAACUGGCUGGGCUCUCAGCCUGAUAAUGGAGGAACAAGUGGAAGAUGGGGUGAGGAGGGCUGUGUACGUGUCAAUAAGGACGGCAAAGCGUCUUGGAACGAUUUUUCAUGUGAUGCUGCUAAAUACUGGAUCUGUGAAAAAGUGCUGAAAUUGGAUGUUUGAAAUAAAGGUCUGCAUGUAUAAA